rnacentral:rRNA from 1 species
CCUACGGGUGGCAGCAGUGGGGAAUAUUGGGCAAUGGACGAAAGCCUGACCCAGCAACGCCGCGUGCAUGAUGAAGGUCCUCCGAUUGGUAAGCUCCUUUUUUAGGGAAGUAGAACGCGUUGCUUGUUUAGCAUUACGUCUCCCCUAUCUACGUGCCAGAAGUCGCGCCAUUACGUAGGCGGCGAUCGUUAUGCGGAUUGACUGGGUGUAAAGGGUGCGUAGGUAGGUAGGCAAGUUAGUAGCGAAACCCCAGGGCUCAACCUGGGAACUGCCGCUAGAACUGUUGGGCUUGAGUGCGGGGAAGGCAGGCGGAAUUCGUAGUGUAGCGGUGGAAUGCGUAGAUAUGACGAAGAACAC